rnacentral:rRNA from 1 species
CAAACGACUCUCGGCAACGGAUAUCUUGGCUCACGCAUCGAUGAAGAACGUAGCAAAAUGCGAUACUUGGUGUGAAUUGCAGAAUCCCGUGAACCAUCGAGUUUUUGAACGCAAGUUGCGCCCAAAGCCUUUUGGCCGAGGGCACGUCUGCCUGGGCGUCACAU